CCAACUUUUUGUUCAUUCUAACUCUUACCACACCGAGCUUUCCUUGGUGUCAGCCACAGGGGUCACUAAGCCAUCAGCUGAUCAAGAAAGCCUCCCGAGUAGCUGGGACUACAGGUGCCCGCUGUCAGGCCUCUGAGCCCAAGCGAAGCCAUCACAUCCCCUGUGACUUGCACGUAUAUGCCCAGAUGGCCUGAAGUAACUGAAGAAUCACAAAAGAAGUGAAUAUGCCCUGCCCCAUCUUAACUGAUGACAUUCCACCACAAAAGAAGUGGAUGCGCAUGAAAUUUGGUGCCCUGACUCAGAUCGGGGGACCUCCCUUAGGAGAUCAAUCCCCUGUCCUCCUGUUCUUUGCUCCAUGAGAAAGAUCCACCUACGACCUCAGGUCCUCAGACUGGACCAGCCCAAGGAACAUCUCACCAAUUUUAAAUCAGGUUCCCACGCCGCCCCUAAUCCAGCUUGAAGCAGCCCUGAGAAACAUCGCCCAUUCUCUCUCCAUAUCACCCCCCAAAAAUUUUUGCCACCCCAACACUUCAACACUAUUUUGUUUUAUUUUUCUUAUUAAUAUAAGAAGGCGGGAAUGUCAGGCCUCUGAGCCCAAGCCAAGCCAUCGCAUCCCCUGUGACUUGCACUUAUACGCC
rnacentral:lncRNA from 1 species